UUUUAGGGCACAUCAAGUUGUC
rnacentral:siRNA from 1 species